GACGAACCGUGCGAACGUUAUUCGGAAUCACUGGGCUUAAAGCGCGUGUAGGCGGGCCGCCGCGUCGGCUGCUGAAAUCCCCCGGCUCAACCGGGGAACGGGCACCGAUACGGGCGGCCUCGAGGGGGGUAGGGGGGACUGGAACUUCCGGUGGAGCGGUGAAAUGCGUUGAGAUCGGAAGGAACGCCCGUGGCGAAAGCGAGUCCCUGGACCCUUUCUGACGCUGAGACGCGAAAGCCAGGGGAGCGAACGGG
rnacentral:rRNA from 1 species